UGGAGGAGUCUGGAGGACACUGUUGAAGUCCGAUUGGCGCUAUCGAAGGUUGAUGGCUGGAGAGGUAUGGAAGACAUCGGAGACAGUCGGUCACUGUAGAAAUUUGGCUGCUGGAGUCCGUCUGUUGUAGAAGUUCGUCUGGAAUCCAAUUCUGUUGUAGAAAUUUGGACGGAGUCCGGUUCUUGUAGGAGUCUGAAAGGAGGCCGCUUACUAUAGAAGCUCGGAUGGAGAUCGGUUGCCGUGGAAGCUCGGGCGAAGUCCACUUACCGUAGAAACUCGGAUGAAGUCCACUUGCAAUAGAAGUUUGGAUGAAGUUCGCUUACUGGAGAAGCUCGGAUGAAAUUCGAAAGGUGGUCGACUACUGUAGAAACUUGGAUGGAGUCUGGCUACUGUAGAAGUCCUACUGCUGGAGAACUCCGGACAUUGAUGAAGUUCGAAAGAAGCUUGGCGUAAAGUCGAUCAUGACAGGAGGAAGUCUGGAAAAGAUUCGGAGAGUAGUCGAUCACUAUAGAAAAUCGACUGAUAGUGAAGCCCAGAGAGCAUUUGGAGCAGUCCGAUAGAUGACUGAAGGAGCUCAUUAUUGGAGAAGUCUGGAGGGUACGAUAGGAGUUCAUCCGUUGGAGGAAUCUGGAGGACACUGUGAAAGGUCGACUGCUGGAGGAGUUCGAAAAGAUGCCGCACAAGGUCGGAAGCUGGAAGAGUCCUGGGAGGGUUGGCCUCUUAUGAACUUCGGCUGGGGUUAUUUUUUACCCAACAGUAUUUAAAAUUUUAUUUACUCAUUAAAAGAGCUAAAUUUAUAUUUUCGUGUGAUUAACUCUCAUACUCUGUUUUUGUCUUAAUCUUUAGUUUUGGAAGGGUUCCAAAACUUGGAAAGAUUAGUCCGAACCUUGAAUUGGAUUGUAU
rnacentral:lncRNA from 1 species